AGGGAUAAGUCAGUAAAACAGCAUGUUAUUUCUAGGUUUCCCGAGCUGAGGAGCCGAGCAGGAACGUUCAGGUUUCUGUGGGCUGGGAAUGUCAGCUGGGAGCAGGAGAGCCACUCAAACGUGAGGCACGGGAGCUAUUUAGAGCAGCAAGAAGCCGAUAGCUCUGAUACUGCACAGCGAGGGGCAAGGAAUCUGCAGUGUGGCUGUGGAUGGAAACUGCUGCGAGUGUGGAGCAGGCAGAACACUGCUAAGCUGAUUACAGACAGCAUUUUGAACAAUUCAUUCAGAAGAAAGGACAUCCAGGGGCCUGAGGGAGGUGCUUCCCAGUGUUCUCAAAGAUGUUUAGAACAGAAACAUGCUCUCCAGAAGCUGAGAAUAAAUGAGAUUGCAGCGUGCUCUCUCUGGAAAGGGGACUGACAGCUAGAUAGUCAUGAACCACAGCAUUCCCUGAGCAAAAAAGAGCCCAAACUGCUGCCUACAAAAAUCACUAAUAAAGUGAGGGACUUCAUUUUUUU